rnacentral:lncRNA from 1 species
UUUUGUUGUGAAUUAGGUACUCUCUUCAUUCUUGAGCCUCCCCUAGACCCUGGAAAUUCUUUCCUUCCUGAUUUGCCCUAGGAGCAGGACAAAUACCGUUGUAUUGUCUUUCCCUGCAUUUGAAGUCUUUUACACCAUUUAGUGCCCUUGCUUUUGGAUGCAAUAAGGAAGUUGAAGUUGCCUUCGUCUGUAAAUACUUAGUGAUUGCCUAUUUUGUGCG